rnacentral:rRNA from 1 species
UACGGAGGGUGCAAGCGUUAUCCGGAUUCACUGGGUUUAAAGGGUGCGUAGGUGGGCAGGUAAGUCCGUGGUGAAAUCUCUGAGCUUAACUCAGAAACUGCCGUGGAUACUAUUUGUCUUGAAUGUUGUGGAGGUGAGCGGAAUAUGUCAUGUAGCGGUGAAAUGCUUAGAUAUGAUGUAGAACACCGAUUGCGAAGGCAACUCACUAAACUUCUAUUGACGCUGAGGCACGAAAGCGUGGGGAUCAAACAGG